UAUUCUACCCUACGGGGAAGGAUGAGAAGCUUCGACCAAGGUUCGACUCGAGCGCUAGCGAGAGAACGUUGCCGCAGGCAACGGCCCGAAGGGCGAGGAGCGAUAGCGAAGAGUUAUCCUUCCCCCUCUAUUC
rnacentral:sRNA from 1 species